CGGGAAAGGAAAUCAGGGUUACAUUGAUUGCAGGUGGAUAGAUGAGCGGGGCGAUCGCGGAUUGGGCAGUGUGAAGAGAAGGAGGAGUAUAAAGAGGGCCUCAGAAACUGCAGAGAGGGAGUUUUUUUUAUUCUAGCCGAUACGGCGAGUGAGUUGGAGUGUUUGGCGAGUGCAGCGGAAAGAAGGCGGAGGAUAUUGUUGGCUGGGCGAAGACAGAGACAAGGGUUUGGCAGAAAACAGAAACCGGGCUGAGUAUAUUGGGAUGUCUACCUAACUGUGAAAUGCUCUAUGGACAUGUGUAACAAAUUCUGAGUGGUUGAAAACAGGAAGACUCACCGGAAGUAUCGCCGAAGGAGGCCCUUUCGACAGGUCACGUGGCAGCAGGAGAAGUAUCCAGGAGCUGGAAAGAAGAGGGAAAAGAGACCUCGUGUUAGUAACGGUGAUGUGAGCGGCCCCACCGUGGAGGAGGAUUGUGGGUGAGCCAGGACCAGUGAGCGAGAGAAGACGUUGGGGUGUCGUGGCGGCGACGUUUAAAUCUGAAUAUUCGUUGCAUCAGUGUCUCCACGAUUUCCAGGAUGAGUCUUUGGUCAGACGGGGUUUUGACCCUAAAUUCACCAAGAGUGUGUGGAGUGCAGUGGGUGAGUCUUUGUCCUUUGCCGUGAGUGUAUACACUUGAAAAUUUCAGUGUUGUGCUGUGUUUGUGUCGUCAACAACCACCUUUCAGGCCCGACGAAAUCCUGCGAAGGAAGUGAGUACUGAGGCGGGCGAAGAAAACAUCUCCAAUUAUAUGCCGUCGAUGACAUCCUGACCCUUCUUCCCCACGUGACGGUGGCGGGAAACAAUUUCAAAUCUCUUGCCCUGUCGGUUGGAAGAAAGAAGAGUGAAGCGUUCGACCCAUCCAGUGUAGCACACCCUGGGUGAAACAACUUACCUGUGUGUGACACCAGCGGAGGCCGUGUUCGGCCCAACGCAGCAGCUUUCGAUCCGCAUCUCUAUCAGCAGUUGGUUGAAGCCUCAGAAAAGGAACGCCUGACGUCUAUUUCCUCAAAGAUCUAGCGGGUCCCUUUGAAGCGUCUACCUGCACGUCGACCUGUCACUCAGGAUACAGAAACCGCGGAAACCCCCCCCCGUACACUCACCAGUACGGUUUCAGUUGGAUCCCGGCAGCCAUUGUGCAGCUCCACCAGCAUCUGGACGACCGGGAGUCCAACCCGCUGGGCCGCCUCGGAGUUCGCCACGAGUAGCAGCAGGUAUCCAUCGUGCAUUCAAACUCUCAAUACUUACCACUUGUAUCUGUUACGUCCAGGAAAGGAGAGGGCCCUGGACAGUCGUCCUGCAAGCCAGAACAAAGGGGCACUUGUGAAUAAGCUGAUUGUCGUCACAUAGCCAGAAGGAAAAUGGAGUGAAGGACUCACCUGAGAUCUCCCGCGACGGAGUCUAAGAGACUCGAGACUGUUACUCUCCAAAAGGAGAGUUGGAUUUUAGCCCCCC